UACGGAGGGAGCUAGCGUUGUUCGGAUAUACUGGGCGUAAAGCGCACGUAGGCGGCGCCGUAAGUCAGGGGUGAAAUCCCGGAGCUCAACUCCGGAACUGCCCUUGAAACUGCAGUGCUAGAAUUCUGGAGAGGCGAGUGGAAUUCCGAGUGUAGAGGUGAAAUUCGUAGAUAUUCGCAAGAACACCGGUGGCGAAGGCGGCCAACUGGACCAUUACUGACGCUGAGGCGCGAAAGCGUGGGGAGCAAACAGG
rnacentral:rRNA from 1 species